rnacentral:rRNA from 1 species
GAUGAACGCUGGCGGCGUGCCUAAUACAUGCAAGUCGAGCGAACAGUUGAGGAGUUUGUCCCUAAGGCUAUAGCGGCGGACGGGAGAGAAACACGUAGGUAAUCUCUGUAUGAGACUGGGAUAACUUCGGGAAACCGGCGAAUAUAGGGGAUAAUUUUACGAAACGUAUGCUUCGAUAGUGAAAGAUGGUUUUGCUAUCACUUAUAGAUGGACCUGCGCCGUAUUAGCUAGUUGGUAAGGUAACGGCUUACCAAGGCAACGAUACGUAGCCGACCUGAGAGGGUGAUCGACCACACUGGAACUGGGACACGGUCCAAACUCCAACGGGAGGCGGCAGAAGGGAAUCUUCCGCAAUGGGCGAAAGCCUGACGGGGCAACGCCGCGUGAGUGAUGAAGGUCUUCGGAUCUUAAAACUCUGUGAUUAGGGAAGAACAAACGUGUAAGUAACUGUGCACGUCUUGACGGUACCUAAUCAGAAAGCCACGGCUAACUACGUG